GUGGGGAAUAUUGGACAAUGGGCGAAAGCCUGAUCCAGCCAUGCCGCGUGUGUGAAGAAGGUCUUCGGAUUGUAAAGCACUUUAAGUUGGGAGGAAGGGCAGUAAGUUAAUACCUUGCUGUUUUGACGUUACCGACAGAAUAAGCACCGGCUAACUUCGUGCCAGCAGCCGCGGUAAUACGAAGGGUGCAAGCGUUAAUCGGAAUUACUGGGCGUAAAGCGCGCGUAGGUGGUUUUGUAAGUUGUAGGUGAAAUCCCCGGGCUCAACCUGGGAACUGCCUCAAAAACUGCAUGACUAGAGUACGGUAGAGGGUAGUGGAAGUUCCUGUGUAGCGGUGAAAUGCGUAGAUAUAGGAAGGAACACCAGUGGCGAAGGCGACUACCUGGACUGAUACUGACACUGAGGUGCGAAAGCGUGGGGAGCAAACAGGAUUAGAAACCCUUGUAGUCC
rnacentral:rRNA from 1 species